ensembl:misc_RNA Metazoa_SRP Metazoan signal recognition particle RNA
GCCAGGUGUGAUGGCAUAUACCUGUAGUCCCAGCUACAUGGGAGGCUGAGGUGGGAGGAUCACUUGAGCCCAGGAAUUCGAGGCUGCAGUGAGCUAUGGUUGUGCCACCGCACUCUGGCCUGGGCGACAGAGCAAGAUCCUACCUCUA